ensembl:lncRNA
GUAUUUUCUUUUGAGGGGCAGUAAAUAAGAGUCUUUUAUGUUGACAAUGAUAAUAUUAUAUUCUACAAUCUAUUUGCAUUUCUCUUUCUGUGGAUUUUAUUGCUUGGUAUAAAUCCCCAGUAUGAGGCACAUUAAAUUUCACAUAGGGCUGGACAGCUAUGUGUACAAGAUGCUACCUGUAGGAAUUGGGUUUUUCCCAGAUAUGAAGGGGGAAUACACAGAAAGGAAGAAAUGCGUAUGUGCAUGCAGGUUUGGGCACAUGCAUAUGAAACCUGGAGGGAUUCUCUUUGGAUCCACAGUCCAAAUGGACUUCCAAGAAGGAGCUGGUAUGACCACAUGCUUCUUCCAUUGUGCCACAUGCAGCCCAUCUUGAUCAGCCAGGUUCUCAGGAGACUGAUCAGCACCUGCUGUAGCUCUGGCCAAAGCUGUUUUUGGGACCAUGUGAAGGACAGAAAACUAAAAUGUGGGCACAAAAGCAUCUAAGACUUGCAGCAGAGUUGAGUCUCCUACCACUUUCUGUGAGUCUGCUGAAUACUUUUCAGUAUGGGAGCAUCCUUUCCAACACACAAGUCAGGAACUGCUGAGAUACAUCACGGUGCAAGCUUGAUCCAAAAUUGAUGUUAACCAUUGACUGUCAACUGAAGACUUCUAUGUGCCACUCACUGUGCUAAGCACCAUCUCAUUUAAUCCUCACAACAGUCCUUCAAGGGCUCUAGGUUUGCCUCUGAGAGGAGAGGGAGGUGGAAUAUACUUUACCCCCUGCAACCUGCUGAAGAAAUGUGCUCCUGAGGCCAGAAAAUCAAGUAAGCCCAUCUGGCUUAGACAGCUCAGCAGCGUGAAGAUCAAAGUCACGUGACCAAGGACAAAUUUCAGUAGAAGAAUUUUGUGAGAUUCUCAUUCCUCGUAAACCCUCAGUUAAGACUGUAUGGAACCUUCACUCAGUAAGAAGCAACUUCUAAAAAAAAAAAAAAAAAGAAGAAGAAGCAACUUCUAAUUCCCAUUUUGGAAUUUGCCCAUUUUUUGGUUCCUAGUGGAAACAAGGAUUGUACUUACGGUUCUUCCCCAACCCCCCCUUGCAUUAUAAGACCCUAAUUAGCUCUGCAGUUAUCUUUAUUCACCAAUCACACAGGCUUCUUUCCUAUCAAAUGGACCUGUACAAACAAUUUCACCGUUAUCUCAGUGGUUAAUUCAGUGAGAGCAGACAUUGCCCAGUGCCUGGAAGUCAGUCAGUGCUUAAUAACUGUGAGCCACCAUCCUUGCUACUGGCACAGUGAUGCUCCAGGAGCCCCUUGACCAUAAACCUACAAUAGUCUCUGCGUCAUCAACAUCUGUGCAAACUGGAGGCUGGGAUGUGGCUCUAGGCAUCUUUUGCACCAGGAUCCAGGUCCAGAGUGUCUCCCUGUGUGUCACUGUCCUGUGCUUCACAAUCUGAGUAGAAGUGUUCUCCCUCUGUGCACAGACAUGAGUUUCCUCUGCCAAGACCAUGAUGCUGGGAGGGACUUGGGGAAGGUGACAUGCAAGCCAAAUAAAGACAACAGAAAACCAAGUCAAAUGAAGACAACAGAAAACCAAGAAAAGAUGAAGAAGCUUGGAGAGAAACAGGGGAAAGGGAAUACAGAGGUGAUGACAGAGAGUAAAUUGGACUUACCAAGAAGCAGAAAUCAGUGGUGGGUGAAGGACAAGGGUCUGGUGUCACACAUGCCUGGGCUGGCAACCUGGUGGUGCUCUUUUUAUUCCCCCAUUAAGUUUAUUGGUACAUUUUAGGUAUACAAUACAGUUAUAUUCAUCAUUGGGAUCUUGUACCAUUACAUGACUGUCUUGGUUCUUAUUCUUUUUUUCCCCUUCCCCUGCUCUCCCUUCACCCCCUCCACCCUUCCCUAUUUGCAAAGACUUUGUUUCCAUUUUUUUCCUUUUGUCAUAUUUUUUUCUUUUCCCUUCUUUCCUUUCCCCUACCCCUCCCACUUCCCCUGCUCCUUUAGACCUUUUCUUCCUAUUACACAAUAUCAAUUAUACAUUGUUAAAAUUAUAGUAUCAAUAUCUAGGAGACAUUACCACAGAUGUUACAGAAUUUAAAAGGGUAUAGAAAGCAUAUUACAAAAAUCUUUUUUGAAAUAAAUUUGAUGACUUCUAAGAAGUACCUUGGAAGACAAAUUAAUGGAACUUACUCUGGAGGAAAUAUAAAAUUUGAAUAACACCUAUUAAAGAAAGUAUAUUCCUAGCUUGAAAACCUACCUAUAUGACAACAACAGGCUCAUAUACAUUUUAACUAAUAAAUUAUAUCUAAUAUUUAAAGCAAAAAAAGAAGAAACACUUCUCCCAUCAUUUUAGGAAAUCAACAUUGUGCUAAUACUAAAGCUGGAUAAAGUUAAUAGAAAAAAGUAUGAACAUAGGGGCCGGGGUUUUAGCUCAGUGGUUUUGCCACCUGCUGCACAAGCGCAAGGACCCGAGUUCAAUCCCCAGUACCAAAAAAAAAAAAAAAAGUAUGAACAUAGAUAGGAAUUUGUUUAAUAAAACAAACUUGGAAGUCAGAUCUGGCAGUAUGUAGAAAGUGGUUUUAUUAUAGGGAUAGCAGUGUUGGUUCAGCAUUGGAAGAUCCAGCCCCAAAAGUCAUCAUUUUAACAGAGGAAAGGAAAAAGCCAUAUGAUCCCGUCACUAGUUGGAGAAAAAGUAUUGGACUAAAUUCUACAGCUGUUCAUGGUAAAAGCUAUCAGGAGUCUAGAAGUAGAACAGAACCUUCUCAACAGAUCAAAGACAUGUACUCCAUACUUCCAGUGAGAAUGCCUUAUAUGAAUGGAGAAGAUACAAUGCUUUCUCCCUAAGGUGGGGAACAAGGGGAGAUAUGCCUACUCUUCAUCUGUCCAUUAAACUUUGAAACAUAGGCCCAAACCAAAAUACUCUGGCACUAAAAAGACACAAUUAGCAUACAAUUGGCAAGGUAGAAGUAAAAUCUUUAUAUGUGGAUGAAAUGAUCAUCUACAGAGAAAAUACUAAGAAAUCUCAAGGAGCCCCUAGAACUUGUAUUUGAAUUUAGCAGGAUUGUAUUUGAUUUUAGCAGGAUUAGAAAACACAAGGUAUAUAUAAAAAUUCAGGUCUAUGUAUACUUACUAUAAAGGAAGAACUGGAUAUUGAAAUUUAAAAGUUAUGUAGGAGUACAAAGGACCUAGAAAACUAAAAAGAAAAAGAAAAACUAUUGGAAGACAUUUAGUACCUAAUUUUAAGACUUACUCUAAAGCUAUAGUAGUCAAGGCAGUUGACUACUAGUAUUGAUGUAAGGAAAGACAUAUACAUCAUUGGAAUAAAACAGAGAAUCUAAAAAUAGAACCACACAUAUAUGGUCCACUGAAUUUUGAAAGAUUAUUUAACAUUAACAUUUUAUAGAACAUAAACUCCAUUCAAGAGCCGAGGAAAAGAUAGUGUUUUCAGCAAAUGGCACUAGAACACCUGGUAUCCGUAUAUAAAAAAUUAAACUAAACUUUAUUUAUAUAUAUAAAAAUAACUUGAAAGGAUCUAUGAACCUAAAUAUGAAAGACUAAAACUAUAAAACUUGAAGAAGAAAUUACAAGGGAAAAUGUAUAUGAAUUUAGGGUAGGCAAGAAUUUCCUAGGAUAUAAAAAACAUGAUGUAUAAAAGAAACUUUGAUAAAUGAGAUUCCAUCAAAAUUUAGAACUUUAAAUGACAUCAUUAAGAAAGUGAAAAGUAGUCCUUAAACUGACCAUAUUUAUAAUGCAUAUAACCUAUGACCAGAAUAUAUAAAGAACUCUUACAGCUUAUUAAUAGACAAUCCAAUUAAAAAUUAGACAAAAGAAGAUGGUAAAUAGCCAAUACAGAACAAGGAAAGGUGUGCAACACUAGAAUCAGAAAAAUACUAAUCAGUACUAUCAAAAGAUUGAAUUAUACACUCAUUAGGGAGAUGAAGUUAAAAGUUUUAAAAGAACAAAUGUCAGCUCAGGUCUGAACCAAUUAGAACUUUCUCAUACUGCUAAUGUGAAUGUAAAAUGAUAAAACCAUUUUGGAAAACAAUAUGGAAAUUUCUUGUAUUACUGUUAAUAAACAACAGUCCUGUUCUUAAGUUUUUACUUGAGAGGAAUGAAAACACAUGUUCACAAUAGAUUUGUACAUUCCAGUUGAGUAUCCCUUAUCUGAAAUUCUUGGGACCAGAGUGUUUCAGAUUUUGGUUUGAGAUCUACUUGAUCUGCAAAGAGGAUAGCUACUCCUGCUUUUUUUCUGGUUCCUGUCACAUGGAGUAUUGUUUUCCAUCCUUUAACUUUCAGACUAUGAGUUUCUUUGAAUUAAGUGUUUCUUCUAUGCAGCAUAUUGUUGGAUCUUGCUUCUUGACCCAUUCUGCCAGUCUCUUUCUUUUGAUUGGUGAACUGAGACCAUUAACAUUGAUAGUUAUAACUCAUACAUAUUGACUUAUCAUUGUCAUGACUUUUUGUGUUUGUUGGAUUCUCCCCCUUUGGAUUUAAUUUCUUGUCAUGCCCGACAGAUUCAUUCUGCUGGGCUUCCUGGGGUUGUGAUCCUCAUUGUCUUUUCCUAGGAUAUGGUCUAAAAUUUUUUGUAGUGCUGGUUUGGUAUUCAUGAAGUUUGUAAGGUGCUCUUUGUCAUGAAAGUAUCUUAUUUCUCCAUCAAUUUUGAAAGAUAAUUUUGGAGGGUACAUCAAUCUAGUUUGGAGGCUAUUUUCUUUUAGGGCUUGAAAUACAUCACUCCAAGCUCUUCUUGCCUUGAGGGUUUGCAUUGAGAAGUCUGCUGUGAUUCUGAUGGGCUUUCCUUUGUAUGUGAUUUGUUUCUUUUCUCUCACUGCUUGUAGAAUUUUGUUCUUCUGUUGGGUUUCUGGAAUUUUAACAAUUAUAUGCCUCUGUGUAGAUUUUUUUUUUUGAUCAAGGCUAGUUGGAGUCUUAUAUUCCUCACUUAUCUUUAUGUCAAGUUCUUUUCCCCUCCUUGGGAAGUUUUCUGCCAUCACUUCUGUGAACAGUUUUUUUUAUGUCAUCUGCACUUUCUCUUGUUUCUUCAUUGACUCCAAUCAGUCUUAUGCUAUUCUUCUUUGCAUUGUCUAGCAGCUGCUGGAUUGAUUUCUCAUGAUCCCUUACAAUUUUGAAGCAAUUUUUCUUUUCCUGGUCACUAAUUGCAAUCUUAUCUUCUAUAUCUGAAAUUCUGUCCUCACAUUGGCUCAUUCUGCUGCAUAGACUUUCAAUGGAGUUUUUGAUCUGGAAAUCUGUUUGCAUCUGUUUUAUGGAUUCCAUUUGUUUCCUAUGUUGGGAUUCCAUCAUGUUCCUGAGCUCCUCUCUAGAUUUAUUAAUCAUGUCUUGCACUAUGAGCACAAUCUCUGCUGUUAUGUGAGAAAUUAUUUCUAAUUUCAUUUUUUCCAGGUCUUCUUUUGUUACCAGUUCAGGGAGUCCAGGUGUUUGAGUAUCAGAAUGUUUCAUCUCCUUUCCCUUUGGGGUUGCUGUAGGUGAUCUGGAAGUCUGAUUUGAAACUUGUUUAUGUGUCUUUUCAUUUUGAAAGGAGUGGGGGUGCUGCGGGCACCUGUGCAGCUUGCCUCCUGUGUGCUAGCGGGGGUGGUGUGGUGGCCUGGAAGCCUCCUCUUGUGCGCUGGGAGCAACUCACCACCUGGCUGUGUUCUUGAAGAGUGUGUGACUUUGGGCAAAUCACUGCCUCUCUAUGAAUCUCAUUUUUCUCCUUUGUAAAGGGAUGCUAAUAGUUCCUCCUUCAGAAGUUUGUCUUCGGAGAAGAUGUAAUGAGUUGAUAUGUGUAAAGCACAGUGGCUUGCUUAUAAUAAGCUCUCCACGCUCAACUAGAAUAAUUAUAAUUAUGUUCUUCUCUUGGCCAUAUACCUUUAGUUCCCUCAAAGGCUGUGUGUGGCUGGCAUCAUGAUUCCAGUUUUAUGAAAGAGAAGUUAAGGGCAGUGGCUGAAUCGUUGCAAUGUGUAGAUCUUUUCCUCUGUACUCUGUUGCUAUCCAGACAGGAGGUUGUAGCUGGGCUCUGGGUGCCCAUGGCUUCAUUUUUCCCAGCUUCUGCCGAGCAUUGACAGGCUCAGGAGCAAAAGUUUCAACAGAUGACCUUUAGGGGGCAGCAUGAGCCUGGGAAACCCUCAGAUGUCUUUGGGAACUGAGCUGUGCUGUCAGCUAAAGGGGACCUAAGGCUGUCCUACUGGGGCUCCCAUUGUUAUGACAAUAGUUGAGGCCUAGGCUAUGGGGCUUCAACAGUGAAGGGACAAGAGGGGCACUGAAUUAGGAUGCUUGGCCUCCCCUGCAACCUCUUUUUCCCACUAUUCCAUUCUGCUUAGUAAAUAGGGGCUGAUCUGGUCCAAGCCAUACAGGGCAUUAAUUCCCAGCCCUCCACAGAUUGGAGGAGGUAGUGCAGCCUGGAGAGUGGGAGAGCAAGAGAGCACUUCCUGAGUCAACAGAAACAACUUAGAACCCAGUGCAUUUCUUAGUGCACAUGGAUCCCUCUGACUCCUGCUCAUCUUCUGGCUCUUGAGCCACUGGGGGCCAGAUUCCUGGGCCCUCCCCAGGUCUCUGAGUCAGACCAGUAGAGGUCACUUUGACCAGUAGUGGUCCAGAGGAUUUUUAUGCAAACUUGCAUCUGACAGCUUCUUUUCUGGUGACAGAAAGACCUGACAGAAGGUCCAUAAGGGAAGAAUGGGGUAAUUUAUUGAUCACUCCUUGCUGGGGCCUGAGCUAAGUGCUCCAUAGAUGCCGUUCUUUGUUUUUCCCUUCACAUUAUUCCUUUACCCGUUCUUAAUGGCAGAGCACUGGACUGAGACUCAGAGAGGUGAAGUGACCUGCUAAAGGCACACUGCUGUCAGCACCUGAGAGGAUCAGAGCUCAGGGCUCUGUAGUUUUAACACUUGCCAGCUUUCACUCUCCAUGUAAUCAGGCCCGGGUCUAAAGAAGGCUGCUGGGCUGGUGUCCAGCACAUGGGCAAAGAAAGGGCCAAGAAAUCCCUUGCCUUCAAGAGUCAAAUCUGACUUGGACUCCUUAGUUUGGGGCCUGGGAUCUGUCAAACACUAAAACAUUUAAGGCUUUUUUUUUUUAAAUAUCUGAAGUAAGCCAUCUAUUAUCUCCUCCACCUUGGCCUCUGCCAGAGGUGGCUCAGACACCCUGAUGAGACCGAAGACCCAUGGCUCUCCAGCCGUGAGCAUUUUGGCGGGAAAGGGGCUUGGAGAUUAACAGGCAGGGCCUCUGAGGCUUGCAAGAAAACUUGUCUUCAGAAUCCUUCAGACUGCUGGAUGCCAGGCCUUCCAAUUCUUCCCUUUCCCCUUGGAGAUUUUAACCUCACUCUCCUUGUGGGAACAGUGGAUCUCCAGCUUCUGUCUGCUCUGGCCAUUUUUAAGGACUCUGACAUCUUGUGGAAGAAAGGGGCUCUUCAAAGCCAAAUGGGCAAUAUAGAGGUCAGUUGUUUGGCAGCACUUCUACUACAUGCAAUCCUGCUUUGGGAAAUGGAUCAGUUCUGGAUAAUCUCUGACCCUACCAUCUCUCUAUCCCCAUAGUCAAACAGGACUCAAAUACUCCAUUUGAGUGAUACCUGUGCUGACCUUGAGAAUGUUUGCCUCUGGCUCCAGUAAUUUAGUCUCUCUCUCUCUCUCUCUCUCUCUCUCUUUUUGUGCAUCAUCUCUUGUGUCUUCUCAUUUGUUCCAUCUCUAAUCUGUCUGCUUCAGUUUAUUCACUAUGCAAAUUAGUUAUUUGAAGGACUAGAAGCCUCUUCCCAGGCCCAAUAACCCAGAACUUGAAAAAGAAUUCUCCUCCCUCCGUGAGGUGUCCAUGGAUUGAGAAAUGCUAACAUUCCCACUGUGCUCUGGCUGGUGCUCUUGCCCUGGAAGAUUUCAGCCAGUCUAUUCUGGUGGGCCCUGGAGGUCAUCUGCAAAGCAUUGGCUUCUUCCCAGCCUGCUGGCAAUAAGAAAGGACAGAGACCUUACCAGUGUCCUUCAGCAUUCUAGAUGGGUAAAUCUCUUCUUUCUUUUGGUUAAGGUUGGCAUUUAGCCAGAAUGUUGGUAGAUCUCUAAGCAAAAGAAAGGCAGCUAAUAAUACUGACCAUUCCUAACAAGAGGUAGCCCCUGAGGCUAUCCAACUGCCUUGACACCAGAUGCCAAACAUUUUUGGAAACUUUCUGGUCUCCCCAUCCCAGACAUCUGUGUAUGGCUCAGUCCACAGCAGCAAAUCUGAGGUGGUGAUGGUUCUGGCUCUUCAGUUCUAUAGAGUCAGGCUGAUGUCUCAGAAUCCCCCAAGUUAAGCAGGUGCCUUCUUCUCCAAGGGCCUCCAUUUCCAUAUCUGUUUAAUGAAUACUUUCUAUCCGUGCCCCUCAAAUUUCAGGCUAAAUGGGAGAAUUCAUCAAGAUAAUCUGUGAAGCCGUGUGCUUGGUCCUUAGAAAAACAUGGUACCCCACCUUCCUGCCAGAUCUCCAGGCUCUCUAGAAUGUUGUGUUAUAGUCAGCAGAUCUUCAGUUUAAAUAAGGGUACAAGUAGUACUUUCACUUUGAGUAGAAAUUGCACUUCUAGGACUAACCAGGAGAAAUGAAGGCUCAUAAGGAUCCAUGUAAAAAGAUGAUAAUUGCUGCAUUUGUUGUGAUUGUCAAGUGGAAAAUGGAAAAAAAGAAACACAAAACAAAUGUAUGGCUGUGGAAGACAGGCUGAAUGAACUCAAACUAUGGUACUCCACAGUGUUGAGUUAACAGCUCUGAACAAUAAUGGAAUUUAAAAAUUGAUCUGGAGAGAUGGUCAUGAUUCAUUUAUUGAAAAAAGAAAUAUGUAUUAAAAAUGUGUAUACUAUGAUUUUAAAAAAAAUAAACCACCAGAAACAUGCAUGGUUCUGUGACCCUAAAGAGAGAUAUGGAAUGAUCCACACCAGUUGUCAACAUUGCUUACAUGGAGAUGGAAACUGAAAAGAGACAUGAAGGGAAGAAAGGAGAUUUAAGAAUUUACUUGAUUUAUUUCUGUUCAUCUCUGAAUUGUCUGCUUUUUUCUAAAUAUAUGUAUCCAUUGUUUUGUAAUGAAAUAAAGUUGUUAGAAGUCUACCCCACAACAUAGUCUUCAGUGAAUGAAAUGAGUAAAUGAGAAAAUGAAAGAAACAUGGUAAUCCUACCAUUUGCAAACAUCUCUUGAAACAAAAGAUGUUUUCAUGUUCCAGAUUCUCUACCAAUAUGCAAAUACCCUUGGUGGCUGAAGCUGAUAAAGCUAACUUUGUCACUGGUCACUAAUCUGGGCUUUGUCAAUCUCAGAGAGAGAGAGAGAGAGACUUUGAGGGGAGGAGGAAAGAAAAGUUUUAAGUCAGAUACCUCUGUGUGCCUGGCAAUCAUAUUCUCUUCACACAAACACCAAGUUCUAUGAAUACAUACUCCUGCAGGAUAUUCAUCCAUUUGGCCCAUUUUAUGAACAAGGAUACUGAGG